ACGAAAAACACUAAACAGUAUAAAGUACCAAAUAAUUAACAAUGAAACAUAUAUUGUAUGUUUUAUUAAGGUAGGCAUAAACGAUAGCUAAUACCAACACAACAUAAAACGAAUACAACUGCGCAGUUGUAUUCGUUUUAUGUUGUGUUGGUAUUAGCUAUCGUUUAUGCCUACCUUAAUAAAACAUACAAUAUAUGUUUCAUUGUUAAUUAUUUGGUACUUUAUACUGUUUAGUGUUUUUCGUA
rnacentral:lncRNA from 1 species